GGGGAAGAUUGAUCCACUGACAUGUGGGUCCUAUAUUCACUAUUAGAGAACUGACUUUCGAUCCCUCCCUCUUUAGUCUCGGUUUAAUUUAGGCCCAGGAGAAAAAGGCGUGCGCCACGAUAGGCUAGAAUUUACUCCCGGUUGGUAUUUGCAAUGGGAACUAAAGGGGAUCUUUUAGUCCUGGUUCACAAAUCAGCCACCAAUGGGGAUCCUUUAGUCCCAGUUGAAAAAUUAGGCACAUGUGGGGACCCUUUAGUCCCGGUUGGUA
rnacentral:lncRNA from 1 species